UUGGCCAGCAGAGUGGAUGACAUAUCUAGCCUUUAUAUAGAUAUCUAUGGGUAAGAUGGCUUCUAAAACCAUUCCAGCAGCUGAUUGGUGGUUCAACGGCUGAUUGGAUCAUGGAGCUCCUCCUACUCGUCAGUGGCUGCAGCUGGCUGGGCUCUUUAAAAAGCCUAGUUUUGAGUGUUCACUUUCUGCUCUCUGCUCCUGCAGUUGGUGUCUUUGUGUUUGUAGGGAGCUUCAGCAGAAGCUGAAGGUUGAAGGUCUUCAGAGCGACUGAAGAGAGCAAAAUCAUGUUCAGACGUUACCUAUUUCCAAUCCAGGACAAACGGGAUUUUGUGGACCUCCUGGUUCAAUGGACCUCCUGGUUCAAUGCUUAAUGGAAAGAUCUACGUGACUCGACAAAGCUGUAUAUCUCUUGGAGGGGAGCAACUGGCUUGUAUUUUGUAAAAAAUUAAGACUUUCUCUAGCAUGAAACUGAUUAAUUUUGAUCAUGGAGCCAUGAAGAUGUCUGAGUGCUGAAAUGAUAUAUUUGUGAAAAUAAAGUAAAAAAACAAAAAAAAA